CUGCAGCUCAAGUGGUGAUCGUUAUUAUUGGGCCUAAAACGUUCGUAGCCUGUUUAAUAAAUGCCUGGGUAAAUCGUGCCGCUCAACGGUACGAAUUCCGGGUAGACUGUUAAACUUGAGACCGGGAGAGGCUAGAGGUACUCCUGGGGUAGAGGUGAAAUUCUGUAAUCCUAGGGGGACCACCAGUGGCGAAGGCGUCUAGCUAGAACGGGUCUGACGGUGAGGGACGAAGCCCUGGGGCGCAAACCGGAUUAGAGACCCGAGUAGUCC
rnacentral:rRNA from 1 species